GGGGUUGUUACGGAUUCGACAGGCAUGCUUGAGCAUGAACUGCAGCCCGAAGGACGUUUCGAUAAAAGUCACAGUUAAAUAUAACUGCUAAAACAAACAAUACUUACGCUGUAGCUGCCUAAACACCAGCUCUCGUAAUCUUUAAUCGCUUUACUUUCGAGCCUUUAAAGAUUUCAUUUUAGAAGGUUACGAUUUAAUAGCGCUUGACUAUUAAAUAAGAGAUUCUCAAGCUCGCCUUAAACUCUGGGGUUAUAUGACAGCUUUUAAGGUUAAAUAAAAAUCAUAUAUCUAUGGCUGUAGACGUUUAUGUAGCGAGGUGUUUGGACGUGGGUUCAAUUCCCACCAGCUCCAUAU
rnacentral:tmRNA from 1 species